UACGUAGGGGGCGAGCGUUGUCCGGAAUUAUUGGGCGUAAAGAGCGUGUAGGCGGUUCGGUAAGUCUGCCGUGAAAACCUGGGGGCUCAACCCCGGGCGUGCGGUGGAUACUGCCGGGCUAGAGGGUGGUAGAGGAGAGUGGAAUUCCUGGUGUAGCGGUGAAAUGCGCAGAUAUCAGGAGGAACACCAAUUGCGAAGGCAGCUCGCUGGGACGUAACUGACGCUGAGACGCGAAAGCGUGGGGAGCAAACAGG
rnacentral:rRNA from 1 species